AACGAACGCUGGCGGCAUGCCUAACACAUGCAAGUCGAACGAGAUCCUUCGGGGUCUAGGGGCUCACGGGUGCGUAACGCGGGGGGAUCUGCGCUUAGGUCCGGAAUAACAGUUAGAAAUGACUUCUAAUAACGGAGGAUGACGUUAAGUCCAAAGAUUUGGCGCCUGGGGAGGAGCUGGCGGAUGAGUCGCUUGGGGGUGGGGUAAAGGCUGACCAAGUCGACGAUCGGUAGCUGGCCUGAGAGGGUGUUCAGCGACACUGGGACUGAGAUAGGGCCCAGAGUCGUACGGGAGGCAGCGGUGGGGAAUAGUGCACAAUGGGAGGAAGCCUGAUGCAGCAACGCCGCGGGCGGGAAGACGGCCUUCGGGUUGUAAACCGCAUGCGCCUGUGACGAAGCGUGAGUGACGGUAAUGGGUAAAGAAGCACCGGCUAACUACGUG
rnacentral:rRNA from 1 species